AGAAGUACACACAAUGACAUCACCAGUGUUGGUAUAAUUAUAUAUACAGACAAGGACAUCACCAGUGUUGUCAUUUUAAUGACACAGAAGUACACACAAGGACAUCACCAGUGUUGUCAUUUUAAUGACACAGAAGUACACACAAGGACAUCACCAGUGUUGUCAUUUUAAUGACACAGAAGUACACACAAGGACAUCACCAGUGUUGUCAUUUUAAUGACACAGAAGUACACACAAGGACAUCACCAGUGUUGGUAUAAUUAUAUAUACAGACAAGGACAUCACCAGUGUUGUUAUAAUGAUAUAGUACAGACAAUGACAUCACCAGUGUUGUUAUAAUGAUAUAGUACAGACAAGGACAUCACCAGUGUUGUUAUAAUGAUAUAGUACAGACAAGGACAUCACCAGUGUUGUUAUAAUGAUAUAUACAGACAAGGACCUCACCAGUGUUGUUAUAAUGAUAUAGUACAGACAAGGACAUCACCAGUGUUGUUAUAAUGAUAUAGUACAGACAAGGACAUCACCAGUGUUGUUAUAAUGAUAUAGUACAGACAAGGACAUCACCAGUGUUGUUAUAAUGAUAUAUACAGACAAGGACAUCACCAAUAACUGAACUGUAACCUCUACUGACCAGUAACAUGCAACUGCCAACAUUGCCUUGGAGGCCUCAUGACAUCAGGCAGCUUCCCAUUUGCAAUUAGACAACAGUUCUGAAAUGUGUUUGAGGAUAUUAAGUUACUAAAUGUAACUUUGAUGUCAGUUGUACUGGGUAGAUGUCAGUUGUACUGGGUAUUAUAUAUGUCAGUUGUACCAGGUAUUAUAGAUGUCAGUUGUACUGGGUAUUAUAGAUGUCAGUUGUACUGGGUAUUAUAGAUGUCAGUUGUACUGGGUAUUAUAGAUGUCAGUUGUACUGGGUAUUAUAGAUGUCAGUUGUACUGGGUAUUAUAUAUGUCAGUUGUACCAGGUAUUAUAGAUGUCAGUUGUACCGGGUAUUAUAGAUGUCAGUUGUACCGGGUAUUAUAGAUGUCAGUUGUACCGGGUAUUAUGGAUGUCAGUUGUACCGGGUAUUAUAGAUGUCAGUUGUACCAGGUAUUAUAGAUGUCAGUUGUACUGGGUAUUAUAGAUGUCAGUUGUACCAGGUAUUAUAGAUGUCAGUUGUACCAGGUAUUAUAGAUGUCAGUUGUACAAGGUAUUAUAGAUGUCAGUUGUACCAGGUAUUAUAGAUGUCAGUUGUACUGGGUAUUAUAGAUGUCAGUUGUACUGGGUAUUAUAGAUGUCAGUUGUACUGGGUAUUAUAGAUGUCAGUUGUACUGGGUAUUAUAGAUGUCAGUUGUACUGGGUAUUAUGGAUGUCAGUUGUACUGGGUAUUAUGGAUGUCAGUUGUACCGGGUAUUAUAGAUGUGAGUUGUACCAGGUAAUAUAGAUGUCAGUUGUACCAGGUAUUAUAGAUGUCAGUUGUACUGGGUAUUAUAGAUGUCAAUUGUACCAGGUAUUAUAGAUGUCAGUUGUACUGGGUAUUAUAGAUGUCAAUUGUACCAGGUAUUAUAGAUGUCAGUUGUACCAGGUAUUAUAGAUGUCAGUUGUACUGGGUAUUAUAGAUGUCAGUUCUACUGGGUAUUAUAGAUGUCAGUUGUACCAGGUAUUAUAGAUGUCAGUUGUAGUUUAAUUCUCCUACUUGUCAUCAUCACUGCUUAUUUGCAUUUUAAGUUUGAAGUUGAAGCUAACGCAAUACUAUGUAUGUAUGGCCACAUUUCUGUGACAGUGGCAGUCAUUGUCUAUGAUUACAUCUCUGUGACAGUGGCAAUCAUUGCCAGUGGUUAAGCUUUCAUGACGUUUUUUGUUGCUAUGGUUACACAUCUAUGACUGUGGCAAUUAUUACUGUGUGACAGUGUCAGACAUCUUUGCUAUGUUUAAACCUGUGUGACAGUGUCAGACAUCUUUGCUAUGUUCAAACCUGUGUGACAGUGCCGGACAUCUUUGUUAUGUUUAAACAUGUGUUACAGUGUCAGACAUCUUUGCUAUGUUUAAACCUGUGUUACAGUCAUUGUCGCUAUGGUUUUACUUCUGAGAAAGUUAUUGCCAUGUGGUGGCAGAUAUUGCUACAGUUUAACCACUUUGAAGUGAAGAGUUGCUAUGGAAACACCUAUACAACACUUGUUGCUCUGGGUACACCUGUAUGAUAGUUUGUGCUAUGUUAACACCUCUGUUACAACUGUUGCUAAGGUAACACCUAUGAUGUUGUUGCUAUGGUAAUACUUAUAUGACAGGCAUUGCAAUGGUAAUACCUCUGUGACAGUUGUUGCUAUGGUAACACCUUUAUGACAAUGAUAGUGUAUAUGUUGUCACUUUCUCUGAUCCCAUUGACACCAGAUGAGUCCACAUUCUAGUGACAUAUUAUGUAGAUUUAUUAGCUCACUAUCAUCAGAUGGUUAGCUAUUCAAAUCACCCUAUUUCCAUGGUCCAUCAUCUAUUUGUCCCUAAACAAUUUUUGUUAUCAUAUUCCUUAAGAAGUUCUGAAGUUCUGUAAAUACAUUUACACCUGUACAGUUACAUCUUGCAGUCAGGCUUGUGUAAAUGUAUUUACACCUAUACAGUUACACCUUGCAGUCAGGCUUGUGUAAAUGUAUUUACACCUGUACAGUUAGACUGUGCAGCCAGGCUUGUUAAAACGUAUUUACACCUGUACAGUUACACUGUAGAGCCAGGCUUGUUUAAAUGUAUUUACACCUGUACAGUUACACCUUGCAAUCAGGCUUGUGUUAAUGUAUUUACACCUGUACAGUACACUGUGCAGCCGGGCUAGUGUAAAAGUAUUUACACCUGUACAGUAACACUCUAGAGCCAGACUUGUGUAAAUGUAUUUACACCUGUACAGUUACACUGUGCAGCCGGGCUUGUGUAAAUGUAUUUACACCUGUACCGUUACACUCUAGAGCCGGGCUUGUGUAAAUGUAUUUACACCUGUACCGUUACACUGUAGAGCCAGGCUUGUGUAAAUGUAUUUACACCUGUACCGUUACACUGUAGAGCCAGGCUUGUGUAAAUGUAUUUACACCUGUACCGUUACACUGUAGAGCCAGGCUUGUGCAAAUGUAUUUACACCUGUACAGUUACACUGUAGAGCCAGGCUUGUGCAAAUGUAUUUACACCUGUACCGUUACACUCUAGAGCCAGGCUUGUGUGAAUGUAUUUACACCUGUACAGUUACACUCUAGAGCCAGACUUACACAUUUCUAUUUAUUUUCGUUUUGGAAUAAAUCAGGAAAAACAUG